UACGGAGGGGGCUAGCGUUGUUCGGAAUUACUGGGCGUAAAGCGCACGUAGGCGGCUUUGUAAGUUAGAGGUGAAAGCCCAGGGCUUAACCCUGGAAUUGCCUUUAAGACUGCAUCGCUAGAAUCGUGGAGAGGUGAGUGGAAUUCCGAGUGUAGAGGUGAAAUUCGUAGAUAUUCGGAGGAACACCAGUGGCGAAGGCGGCUCACUGGACCAUUACUGACGCUGAGGUGCGAAAGCGUGGGGAGCAAACAGG
rnacentral:rRNA from 1 species